rnacentral:rRNA from 1 species
AACGAACGCUGGUGGCGUGCUUAACACAUGCAAGUCGAACGAGAAAGUUUCCUUCGGGAAAUUAGUAAAGUGGCGCAAGGGUGAGUAUCACGUGAAUAAUCUGCCCUCGAGAUCGGGAUAACAUGGUGAAAACUAUGCUAAAUACCGGAUAAGACCACAUUUCAAAAAGAAAUGUGGGAAAAAGGAGUCUCAACCUUUACUCGAGGAUGAGUUACGCGCAACAUUAGCUUGUUGGUGAGAUAAAAGCUCACCAAGGCUACGAUGUUUAGCCGGCCUGAGAGGGUGAACGGCCGACACCUGGAACUGAGACACGGUCCAGACUCCUACGGGAGGCAGCAGUGGGGAAUAUUGCGCAAUGGGCGAAAGCCUGACGCAGCAACGCCGUGUGAGCGAUG